UACAACGCACUACCUGUUCAUAGUAGUCGUUGCUGUCAACAGCACACUGCUCACCAUCAACGCAGGGGACUACAUCUUCUACACAGACUGGGCGUGGACGUCCUUCGUUGUGUUCUCGGUGGCCCCGUCGACGAUACAUGCUGUUUGCGCACUCGACUACAUUUUAUUCCGACGUGUUCCAUUCCCCUCCACCCAUUCCUCCACUACCAUGACCUACCCCCCACGGGUUGCAAAGCGCCCAUCGUUUGCACCCGUCCUCCCCUCAGUCUCUUUCAUGGGCGACAAGACGAAACAAGAACGAUGCCAAACUGAGUGGCGGUAAGAUGGUGGGGCGCUCCUUCCCGCUGUUCAACAUGGUCAACCUGUUGCUUGGAAGGGACCCGCUCGAGGUGGCCUUCAAGUAUCCGAGACAGACUCUGCCCGAGUACAUGAAGCCUAUAGAGCCUCAGGUAGGGAAGUUCUACAACUCGCCUGUCGCCCUGGGUUCAGGUGCCGGUGCAGUGCUAACGGUACCCAUCGCUGCGUUGGGUGCAAAACUAAACACGUGG
rnacentral:rRNA from 1 species